AUUGAACGCUGGCGGCAUGCCUUACACAUGCAAGUCGAACGGCAGCACGGGAGCAAUCCUGGUGGCGAGUGGCGAACGGGUGAGUAAAGUAUCGGAACGUGCCCAGUCGUGGGGGAUAACGUAGCGAAAGUUACGCUAAUACCGCAUACGAUCUAUGGAUGAAAGCGGGGGAUCGCAAGACCUCGCGCGAUUGGAGCGGCCGAUAUCAGAUUAGGUAGUUGGUGGGGUAAAGGCCCACCAAGCCGACGAUCUGUAGCUGGUCUGAGAGGACGACCAGCCACACUGGGACGGAGACACGGCCCAGACUCCUACGGGAGUCAGCAGUGGGGAAUUUUGGACAAUGGGCGAAAGCCUGAUCCAGCCAUGCCGCGUGCAGGAUGAAGGCCUUCGGGUUGUAAACUGCUUUUGUACGGAACGAAAAGGACUGCCCUAAUACGGUGGUCCCAUGACGGUACCGUAAGAAUAAGCACCGGCUAACUACGUGCCAGCCGCCGCCGUAA
rnacentral:rRNA from 1 species